CUAAUGAUAAGAUACUUGACAUUGCCUCCCACAGAACUUUCUACAAAAUGCAUACCAGCCAGCUACACACGGAGCUAUUGCCAGGGGAGAUUUAUGAUAAACAACUAAUCAGCAGAGUCUAGGGAGUAAAGGACUCUCUGUCAUUCCUUUCCCUGCUAACAAGCAAGUCUUCAGCGUUCAACAGUUCAAUAGCUUCUGUACCUGCAGCACCAGGGAUCAAGGGGAGGAUUAAAUGCAUGUCCCGGCCUGGCAUUUACACAGCACAAGGGUAAUGUCUGUUUGCACUCUACCUCACUUUCGUGCAUGUAAGAGAAGGAAAGAAGGAAUGGUGUAGGACUACUGGACUCCCUCUUUCACAAAGCUCAGAAAAAUGGAAAACAGGCUAAUCACUGAGGAAGUAUGCAAGUCACUAAAUAUAAAUCUAAACCGGUUUCUACUGCUACAAUAUCAAGUUUCCCUGAAGAGCAGCUCUCCUUUGAAAAGUGUCUCUGAAAAGUUUGUGCUGGGGGUUCUCAUCUCAUGGCAUCUUGGUAAUUUCCAGACAAAAUCAAAUUACUCUUCAUGCGGAGCUGCCUUUUCCCAGCGCUCAAAGGAAUGACUCGUAAUGCCGGCGAGACCUCGUGACAAACCAUGCCUCAUCUUGCCGUGCCCCAGGAUGACUCCGGCGGAUCCCAAAAGCUGCUCCAAGGAGCCGGGCGGACGCGCGCCUGGGGCUAAGGAGAUAACACGGGAUGAGUUAGGAUCUUCUCGUGCCUCUGCUGCAGGGCAUGGGACCAUACGUUCCCCAUGCCGAAGGACGGGAAAAUGGCAGCGCGUCACAUGGAAAACCGAAAUGUCAGGGAAAAACUACAGCAACGGACUGAGGGCUGGAGUCGGACCUCGCUCAGAAGGAUUCAGCUGGAGAAAACAACAGCUCUUUGGAGGAUUCAUGAGGUCUACCAGCUUGCAUCAUUAAAAAAAAAUCUAUUAUUAAAAUAAGAUGAUGGAAAAUGGUUGAGUUUCUACACCUUUUUAUGCUAGUAAAAAUGUUUGGUCAGGGUACGUCAUUCUCUGCAUCUUGAUUUACUUAAUGCAGAAAUGUGCAGAACUUUAAAAACCUGAACAAAAUGUGCUACAGAAAUUUUACUAUUUUAUUUUAAAUGAUCAAAAAUACUGGGAAGAAGAAGACACCUUUUUUUCUAAGUAACAAUUAAUGCUCAUGUCCUUUAAUUCCAGUUUUAUCUCUUAGUAUCUUCUGAUUUUUUUUCUACUUAAACCUAUCUAAUCAAUUUACACUUCUCUACUUUUUGUUUUCAAGAAUAAUCAGGUUAAUGUUCCUCAAAAAGGUGCAAAAUUUGCACUCAGCUAUACUAUACUUGAUUCUAGUGGGGUUUUUUUCAUUUUCAUCUGUCCUCUGAUCAGGAAAACAAUUUUAAACAAUCAUAUCUAGGAACUAAAGAUUUAAUGACCUCCAAAACUGUGUAAGAUAUUUUUUCCAUUGAACAGUAAGUCAAAAUAAUGUUUCUCAAUCCAAUUUUGGAGCAAGAUGAAAUAUCCUCAAAAAUUUGCACUUUUUUUCCAGAAAGAUAUAUGUGAAUCUCAAGAAAAAGAGGGGGGAAGACAAAAAAAGACCACAGCUGCAACAAGAACACUUUUACUGCCUGGAAAAGAAACCAAGAGAUCAUCUCUGAAUGGAAUUGGAAAAGGCAAAUUAAUGUUAUCACAAUAAAGACAAAGAAUAUUGAUAAGCAGAAAAGGCAAAUUUACUAGGUCUCUACUGAAUGAUUAAAGAUUGACUGCUAGUGAAUAAAGAAAUCUCAGUAAAGA